GGAAAUAGCUGGGAAACUUCCAGAUGUGUGUGCUGCAGUCCCGCCGCUCGGCCGAUGGGGCCCGCCCGGCCAGCGAAAUCGCAGUUUCUGUCUUCUUCCCUCACUCCUGGCCCCUCCUGACCACUUCAAUGGUUUCUAUCCAAAUCGGCCUUUUCGCUAAGUCUGGAACCUUGCCUGUAAGGUGAAACUACGUUUCAUCACUUGGCGGAGAGUUCAA